UCUGCCCAUGUGAUCUUAGGCAAGGUGCUUCUGUCCUCUGGGCCUCAGUUUCCCCCUCUAUAAAAUGAGGGGGUUGUUAUGUUAUUGAAUACCUGUCUCACUCUACUACUUACUGCCCAUCAUCAUGUACAUUUGUAAGUUUACACAUAUCAGUAACCCUGCCAUGUGCCACGUAUGAUGCUGGUCCUGAGGUGGUCUCUUGGAAUAUUUUUGGUUCUGCCUCCAGCUGAGUGCGAUGAAAAACAAACCUAAUUUGCAUUUUCACCAGGAAAACCAGAGCAUGAAAAUCAGCCUCAAGCCUGUGUCCUUCUCCAUUUCCUCCAAGCUUCUAACAUUGAAGAACUUGGGGUGAGGGAAGGGACUUGCCCAUCUGUGUGCUCCUUAAUAAUUGGCUUUCAUAUCUAGGGAGAAAAAUACUUGUGUCUUAGACUCCUUGUCACCAGUCAGACCAAACUGGACCAAAAUGACAGACUCAAAGACUAGAUCUGUUUUUGGAGUCAGGAAGACCCUCGUGAGUUUAUGUUCCACCGAUGACAUGGACUAGCUUUGUGACCCUAGGCAAGGCCCUUGACCGCUCAGUACCCCGGGCAAUUCUAUUUGAGGAUGUAUGUUACCCUCAGAGGGAGCGUCUGCCCAGAUCAAAUCGCAAUCCAGAGACCUCAAGAGAGGAUAGGAAGUCUAGGCAAGCCCGGCAGCAGCCCUGACAAGGGGUGUCUGGACGCCUUUGGAAGAUCUCCAGGGAUGGCGAGCUUGCUAAAUCCCGAGGCAGGCCAUUCCACUGGGGGAUGGCUCUCAUUAUCGGGGGUCUUUUGGACAUCAAGGGAGAACCUUCCUCUCUGCGGCUUCCCCCCACUGUGCCUCGGUCUGCCCCCUGAAGCCAAACGAAGCCAAUCCUGCCAUUGACAGGACAGCUGUCUUCCCAGAGUCCUCAUCCCCAGUCCCUUAGGCCAUUCCUGAGAUGGUUCCCUCCACUCAGUGCCCUGGCCUGAGGGCGUCCCUCCUUCAGGACCGAGGGCUGAAUGUGUGUGGUUGCCAAGGGUGAUCUGACCAGCUCAGAGGACAGUGUGCAUAUUGUCUCUUGCCUCAUUCUAGACGCGAUGAAACUGGAUCGAAACGUAAAUUCCCUUUGGAGAGAUGACAAGGGUUUGGUGCCUGAACUUUUAGGUGGGGACGGUAACAACCUCCAGAGAAGAAAGAGGCCCGGGCCCCGCCGUAUUGGGUUUUGUCAGAUAUUGACCAGUAGAUUAAUGAUGUCAUGUACCGAGGCAGAUGUUUCCUCCAGCUCUUCCAAAGCCUACGUGGGUAGGAAAUGUGUGCAGUGUUGUGAGCAGGCCUUGGAAAAAAACUGUCCAGCAUCAGCAGUGUGUUUGCAGAGUGACCAGAGCUGCCAGGGCGCCCCCUCCCAGAUUGUCCUUGAUAGGAAAAGCCCUCUCCUCUGGCAGAGGGCUCCCCACCCUCUCAUCCUUUCAUUGUUUGGCUUCUUUGCUGCUCAGAGGGGGCCGCCUUCAGAGCAGCUUAAGUCUGAUUGGCUGCGAUUGUCCUGCCUCAAUCUCUUAGGGCGCAGAAGGGGAUGAGGAGCCCCUUCAGGGAAAUGAAUUCCCCACAGUUAGACAGCCCGUGAUUGGCUGAGGGCCAGCACUUGGACUUGGGUGCUUGGCCUCCCAGGGCCAGUGUUGGAGGCCUCGGCCGCUCCCAGGAAUCCUAGCUGUCACCCAGCGCUGAAAAGCUCCUUUUUGUGUCUCGCUUUCAGAUUUACAGAGCAGUUUCCUUGAAACACUUGGUGUCCAAUCCCAACUCUUCUGCUCUCCGCUUCUGUGACUUUGGGGAAGUCACUUGACCUCUCGGGGGGCCAGGUUCCUCAUUUGGAAUCCAAAAGAGUUAGGGUUUAACCAGUUAGUUGAAGCUGGAGCCCUUUUCUGUGCCUUGGCCCCUGGGCAGCCAGUCUGGGAAGCGAAGGGACUUCACAAGCACGCUGUGCGGUACACGGGGACACCAAUCGUAUUUACCGACAGGUAUCAGAAGCUCUACAAAAUGAGCUGGCGGAGCCCUGGUCCAGAUGACCUUUACGGUCCCUUCUAGGUCUGAGUCCCAUGGUCCGGAGACCAUCCCUGGGGGGAAGUGGCCCGAGCCCUGCUCGUCAUGGGUGAGGAAGAGGAGUUUCAGCUGUGCCUGGUCUCCCAUACUAGAUCGUUAGGGCAGGAACUGUGUCUUCUACAGUGGAGCCAUCAGGGAAGCAGCCCCCGCACCGAAGUGGUCACCUAUCCCGCGGACUCAGUUUAAGGUCCAGGGUCCAGCUUCAGCACCAGGGACCAGGGUGUGAGUCUUCUUUGUGAAACACACCGUCAUCUCAGAGGGCCCUGCAAUAGAAUGACGCCAUUUCCCUGCUAAGAAGUGGGGCCCGUAUCAUCCCCUGGCACAUAAGUUAAGUGCCUAGUGGUGAUAAGUGCAUAUUGAUGACAUGACUGUAGCAGUGACUUGUUUACAAAGCCCUCUCCUCACAAGCUACCUAGCCUGGGAACUAGUAUACCCAUUUUAUAGAUGAGGCAACUGGAGUUGAGAAGCGGAGUGACUUCCCUCAUAUCACACAGCUAGUACGUGUGAGAUCUGAGACUCAAACCUAAAUCGCCAGGUUCUAAGAUAAGUGUUCUUCCACAUCUCCCCGUGAGGAGAGCCCUGCUGAGGACUCCUGAGGUUCUGUCUGAACGGUCUGUGCUUGACCCUCACUGAUAAAGACUCAAGAUCAGCUCUGCCCUGGCCAGGUUCCACGAGGAGCAUCGUGUUCAGUUCUGAGCACCCCAGGGAGGAAGGAAGCAGAUACAGCGGGCAGACGUCCAGAGGAGACGACCGGGACGGUGACGGCCCCCAGGCCGCAGCAUCUGAGGACUGCUUGAAGGAACUGGGGAUGUGGAGUGCGGAGAACAGAAGAUUUCGGGGGAACGAGGUCGCCGCCUUCAAAUGCAUGUAAAGAUCCUAGGAGCUUAGGGUGAGGAGGACCCUUGGAGGAGGCCGCCCCGUGCCCCCUACCCUUGAAGGAAGCUCCCUUCUCUGAAAGCUGGGCAAGCAGCCAUGUGUCUGUGCUAGAAGGACGGAGUUGGCCUCUUCCUGAAGACCUUCAGGGACGGGGAGCUCACUACCUCAAGAAUUACACUUGGGCCGAUUUUUCCUUCUGAGAGCCCAGACUGCACUGGUGUUAUCUUUUAGCGAUCCAGGGCCCAAGCCGGCAGCAGUGAGGCUCCUCUGUGAUUAGCCCGGGCCUCCCCUGGACAGGGGAGAGUUCUCUCUGUGCCCAGUUGAUGCUGCCAUUAUGCUUAAUGACACGCACGUGCUCCAGGCUGAAACCAGAGCCGUCAGCCUCAAACCAGUUGGACAAAACCCCCAGGUGUCAGAACAGGCAGGGGUGGCAUCCCCGGGCUGGCCGCCCACACCAAGGCUGAGUCUGUGGCACGCUGUGCCCAGAACUGUGCACCUGAGGAAAGAUGAGACAGACGCAGCCCUGGGGGAGCCGAGGCCUUUUUCCUCCUUCCCAUAAACUGCAGAGUUUCCCACGGUGGGCAAAGGGCCUUCCCAUCAUGCCGUGGGAGGAUCCCCGUUUGUCUCCAGCCUGGAGGAGAGGAGACCUGGGGUGGGCUGGGGGGCUGAUACCGCUUUCUGGCGCCAUCUGGAAGCUCUGGGGGGCAGAACCAGGAGCAGCUCCAUUCCAGUCCACCCAGAUGUGUUUAUUGAUGGCUAAGGGCCAGGCACCAUGGUGGGUACCUGGCCUGCAAAGACAACACUGAUAUCACUCCCGACCUCAAGAAAUCCUAAUCAUUCUGCUGGAGGGGGAAGGAUGGAAGAGGGAUCCAGGCUCCCAGAGAGCUCCGCGGUAGCCUGAGGAGGGAGAGAGAUAAGCAGCAGCCUGGGGGGUGGGGGUCAGGAAAGCCUUCAGGAAGGAAAGCGGCUGGAGCUAAGCCUCCAGGGCAGAUUAGGAUGGGAAGAGCUUGAGAUGAGGGGGAGGGUGCACAUUCCACUCUCCAGGGACUGCCUGUUCUGGGACCGAUGGAAUGCUGUGUUGGGCAGCUGGGCUGAAGCCCAGAGGACCCCCCCCCCCAAAGGCCUAUGAGACAAGACAGAGAAAAGGGAGAUUGGGGCACAAUGGGGAAGGAAGCGGCGGUUGAGUUUUAUCCUUGAGGUAAUAGGGAGCCCCAGAAGGGUUUUGAGCAGGAGUGUACAUCCUUUAGCUCUGCACAUUAGACAGAUUUUUGGUGGUUGUAAGGAAGACAAUUCUCCAACCCACCUGGAAUUGAGGCGCCCAAUUACCUUACAAGGAAACUGUGGCCAUGCAGGGUUAGGUCUGGUGGGCUGCCAGGGAGGGAGGAGAUGGGGGUCUCUGUCCUUUUUCAAGGGCGGUCGAGAAUGCUUUGGAGCAGAGGUUCUAGAUGGGAUUCCCCCACACUGGAAGGGCCCGGUGUUAGACUAAAUGACCCUCAAGUCUCUUCCAUCUCUGAGAUUUCAGGAGUGUAAUUCAUAAUUGCUAAAUCCCCACCUCAUACCAGGACUGGGUUCUGUGCUGGACAUACCAAGAUGGAAAACCGUCCUUGACCUAAAGCAGGACAGUCUCACAAAGUUAUAAGGAAGCUGAGAUGGAGCUUCAUAGGAACGUGGGUUUUGGAACAAGAGGGCACUUAGAUACUUAUUAGCUGGGUGACCCUAAGCAUCUCAGCCUUAGUCUUCUCAUCAGUGAAAUGGGGAUAAUAAUAGCCCAGCAACCUCAAAGAGCUGUUGGGAGGAGCCAAUGAGAAAAUCGUAAAACACUUUGCAGACCUGAAGGUCUAUCAAAAUGUUAGCAAGUGUUAGGAUUAUGGCUCCAGGAAUGACUAGUUAUUGCAGAAAAAGACAACAGACAGGGAAGGCCCUUGGGUGGGAAGGACCCUUCUCCUGGAUGGAGGGAUCAGAGGAGGUGACCCUGAGCUGGUCACUGAAGGAGGAGAAGGAUGUCAGUGGAUGGAGAUGACAGCAUCAGUGCCAGAUGUGAGAGGUGGACAAAGGCGUGGACGUGGGAGAGAGCACGGUGGGAAGUAGCACCUACUUUAUUUGGGAAUGGAGUGAGAGACUGGUCUCAGGAAGGAGUCAACUUUCACUUCCUCCAGAGGGACUGCCAAGACAGCCUUUCCCACCUCCCUGCACCCUCAUGGCAUCCAAGCCAGACUCAUUGGCUAUUGAGGGUGUUAGAAUUAGAUUAAAAAUAGAUGAAGGAGUGAAAAGGAGGCCACCAGCAUGGAGGGAGGGGAAAGGAGGGACUGACGAUAGCCUGACUUGGGAGGAAAUUCAGAGCAGCUGGGUAGAGGUUAGUGAGCAGAGAGGAGAUGGAGCCUUUAUUAAGCACCUGCUGUGUGCCAGGUACUGUGCUGGGUCCUGCCCCCUGGGGGGAUACGUUUUACUUGGGGGGGACCAAUAUGGGUCAUGAUAAGUAUAUGGUGUGUAUCUUGUCUGCAUAAUGUGUCUACAUAGUGAUUUCUAGGGCUUGGGGGAAGGUGCUAAGACCCCAUGGUGGGAGGUGGGGAAAGCCUCUGGUAGAAUUGGGGCGUAGACCUUUGGGAAGGGUAGUGAUCUGAGCUCAGGGGCCCACAGAGAGAAGCCCGCUCAGCGUGAAGGGCCAGUCUGGGCCCAUUUACUCAUUCACGGACCAACCUCUAAGGAAGCACUGACCAGGGAUGUCCCAGAGCUCCCCUGGGCCCCUUUUCCCUGCUCAUCUGGUAGCAGGGGAAGGGAGGACCCAGGGGCCACUCCUUCACUAGACUUAGUGACUUAGCAGUGAAGUGAGGGUUAGAAAGGCCAUUUCUUUCCUUGGGGAAGGGGAGAACACCAGGGAGAGAGAGAAGGUGGUUUGGGAAGGUAGAUGUAUCCUAAGGCUGCCCAUUCCCCUUGGGACAGCUCUCACUGUUCCGAAGUGUGUGCUGAUCUCAAUCUAAAACCUGAUUGCCUGGAAUUGGCUGCUGACCCACAGCUGAGCCUGAUUCUGCCCACUACGGUCAAGCAGAAAGAGACAAACAAUCCUUCUGCCAUGGGACAAGCCCUUCAGAGGCUUGAAAACAGUCAUUCUGCCCACUUCCAUCCUCCUCUUAACCACCAGUGAUGGUGGCCCAUGGAAGACUUCUUGGAAAAGAACCACACCAGGAACUCAUUUCCAGGGGGUAUCUGAGAAGGUGGAGGGUGCUGGCCCGGUGCCCACAGCAGAGGAAGGCCUGGAGACAGGAAGGGGGGGGUGGGAGGUAAAGUCAGUGUAGAGUGUAGAGGACAUAGGCAUGGAUAGGCCAGGGGGGCCUGGCAGGAGGAGAGAAUGACUAAAUCCGAACCUCUGUUGGGAGAGAUGCAGGUGCAGAGACACCAAGAUAGGGAAGAGGAGAGAAAAUACGAUGUGUGGGGCAGGAAGAGAAAUCAACGGAGCACUGGAAGGAGAGGAUGAAUCAGAGAGGAGAAGGGUUGGGCAGUGGCCUUACAAAAGGCCUCAGAACCAGGGAAAAAGGGAGGAGCUGGAAAUGAUGAUGCCAUUGGACCAAUGCUUGUUAAAAACACCUGCUCUAUACUCAGGGUAUAGACAGAGGGGCUAUCAU